rfam:Nicotiana attenuata strain TT scaffold03557, whole genome shotgun sequence.
UGGACAGAUUAUUGUAUUCGACUGUAUUCACGGCGUGAAACAGGGGAUUACACCGUUUUUAAAUGGAAAGUGAAUCAAUUAACAUAAUAGACUCCU